AGUGAACGCUGGCGGUAGGCCUAACACAUGCAAGCCGAACGGCAGCACAGGAGAGCUUGCUCUCUGGGUGGCGAGUGGCGGACGGGUGAGGAAUACAUCGGAAUCUACUCUGUCGUGGGGGAUAACGUAGGGAAACUUACGCUAAUACCGCAUACGACCUACGGGUGAAAGCAGGGGACCUUCAGGCCUUGCGCGAUUGAAUGAGCCGAUGUCGGAUUAGCUAGUUGGGGGGGUAAAGGCCCACCAAGGCGACGAUCCGUAGCUGGUCUGAGAGGAUGAUCAGCCACACUGGAACUGAGACACGGUCCAGACUCCUACGGGAGGCAGCAGUGGGGAAUAUUGGACAAUGGGCGCAAGCCUGAUCCAGCCAUACCGCGUGGGUGAAGAAGGCCUUCGGGUUGUAAAGCCCUUUUGUUGGGAAAGAAAUCCAGCUGGCUAAUACCCGGUUGGGAUGACGGUACCCAAAGAAUAAGCACCGGCUAACUUCGUGCCAGCAGCCGCCGUAA
rnacentral:rRNA from 1 species